UGCUACCUGACCAGUAACAUCAGACGAUUUAUGAUUUUUGAUAAAUAUCUACAAAAGGAUCCUGUUGGGAAUCUCUGUCAUCACCCGGAAGUCCCUUCCUUCCCUCACUAGAUGUCUUCAGGGAGCAGGAUGGGUUCUCUCACACACCUGCGAUUCAUUUUCUUUCAUUAGGUGGAGCAUAAGAAGAGCCGGCUGCCGAUCCUCCGACGCCAGAGUGUUUGCCUCUGUGGUAACUCCAGACCCUCAGAGCCGCAGGUCCUUGUCUGAAGUCUUUUGAGUUUUGAGCUCACCUACGUUUGUGUUGCCCUACUAGGUACGCCGCAACUCAGGAUUCGAUCCAGAUCGUGGAUUCCUUCCUCUGGUUCGGAGCGAUCCCCCACAGCGGGGGGUUGCCCCAGCUGGUCCCAGCUCCACCAUUCUUCCUCUUAGUGGAUCGCCCUUCCAGCACCAAGACGGAUAUGAUCAAACCCGGUGAGGACGAAAGCAGCUGAAGGCAUUUGUGGAGGUUUUAGAGGUGAAGGAGAUCCAGGACGGUUUGCAGCGUUUCCUUCUCAGGACGGUCCUGCGGGUGAAACUUUCCCCAGUAAACGGACACAAUUCUCUCAUCCAUCAGAACCCUAAGUGUUCCUGACAAGAAUGGGCCGAGUAUCGGAAGAGGAUUACAGGGGAAACCACCU